rnacentral:rRNA from 1 species
UACGUAGGGUGCAAGCGUUAUUCGGAAUUACUGGGCGUAAAGCGUGCGCAGGCGGUGAUGUAAGACAGAUGUGAAAUCCCCGGGCUCAACCCGGGAACUGCAUUUGUGACUGCAUCGCUGGAGUACGGCAGAGGGGGAUGGAAUUCCGCGUGUAGCAGUGAAAUGCGUAGAUAUGCGGAGGAACACCGAUGGCGAAGGCAAUCCCCUGGGCCUGUACUGACGCUCAUGCACGAAAGCGUGGGGAGCAAACAGG